AGGAUGAGGGCAGAUCACAGACCUGAAACUUGAUCAGGACCGUCGAUACUUGAAUAUAAAUUUCACCGCAGAUUGGAAUGUUGAUACAAGUCAAAACAAAAUACUACAGUACAGGCAUAAAUCCCAUUCGUGGCAAACACUGACACGUGGCAAUAUACGCUUUGUGUGACAUUAACACCUGUGCAAAACUGUUAUAUUGUUGUCCUCUUCUGGCAUUCCCAUCUUCAGCGUAAAACACCCGUAUCUGUAUGAAAUUUACCAGUUUUCUAGUUCCAGCCAUCAUCAUCAUCUCUCAUUAAAAAAUCUUCAUGGGUUCAGAGACAUUCCUAGAAGUCAUACUGGCCAUCCUUCUCCCUCCUGUUGGAGUCUUUCUACGUUAUGGCUGUGGAGUAAAUGUGGAGUUCUGGAUAGAUUUGUUGCUGACAAUAUUGGGAUAUAUACCUGGGAUUAUCUAUGCAAUUUAUGUGUUAGUUGGAUAGCAAAGGAAAAAUAUUUUUCUUUUUGGAUCUUUAUAAUUAGUGAAAGUGUAGCACAUAUCAUGUUGGGUAUGUUUAUUUUGGUGUAAAUAAAUGGAGGCUACUUUCUUUUC